rnacentral:misc_RNA from 1 species
UACGUAGGGUGCAAGCGUUGUUCGGAAUCACUGGGCAUAAAGCGCAUGUAGGCGGCUCGGCAAGUCGGGUGUGAAAGCCCCUGGCUCAACCAGGGAAUUGCAUUCGAUACUACCGGGCUCGAGGACGUCAGAGGAAAGUGGAACUCGUGGUGGAGCGGUGAAAUGCGUAGAUAUCACGAGGAACACCGGCGGCGAAAGCGACUUUCUGGGGCGUACCUGACGCUGAGAUGCGAAAGCCAGGGGAGCGAACGGG